UUUCCGUAGGUGAACCUGCGGAAGGAUCAUUAAUGAGUUGUCAUGGGGUUCGAUGCUGGCAGCCAAUUUUUGGAUGCAUGUGCUUGCCCUAACAAUCAUCUUCCAAACACCUGUGCACAUUUUUGAGGGAGUCUUGUGUUGGUUGCCGCUCUUGGGUGAUUUUCUCACAUUCCCUUAAAUCAUUAUACGCUAUUAACAAUGUUGAACGUGCUCUGUGCCGCAAGGCUAUUAAUAUAAUACAACUUUUAACAACGGAUCUCUUGGCUCUC
rnacentral:misc_RNA from 1 species